AUACGUAGGGGGCGAGCGUUGUCCGGAAUGAUUGGGCGUAAAGGGCGCGUAGGCGGCCCGGUAAGUCUGGAGUGAAAGUCCUGUUUUUAAGAUGGGAAUUGCUUUGGAUACUGUCGGGCUUGAGUGCAGGAGAGGUAAGUGGAAUUCCCAGUGUAGCGGUGAAAUGCGUAGAGAUUGGGAGGAACACCAGUGGCGAAGGCGACUUACUGGACUGUAACUGACGCUGAGGCGCGAAAGUGUGGGGAGUAAACAGGAUUAGAUACCCUGGUAGUCCACACUGUAAACGAUGAAUGCUAGGUGUAGGGGGUAUCGACCCCUUCUGUGCCGCAGUCAACACAAUAAGCAUUCCGCCUGGGGAGUACGGCCGCAAGGUUGAUACUUAAAUGAAUUGGCGGGG
rnacentral:rRNA from 1 species